CCUACGGGAGGCAGCAGUGGGGAAUAUUGGGCAAUGGGCGCAAGCCUGACCCAGCAACGCCGCGUGAAGGAAGAAGGCCCUCGGGUUGUAAACUUCUUUUAUUCGGGACGAAACAAAUGACGGUACCGAAUGAAUAAGCCACGGCUAACUACGUGCCAGCAGCCGCGGUAAUACGUAGGUGGCAAGCGUUAUCCGGAUUUACUGGGUGUAAAGGUCGUGUAGGCGGGAGGGGAAGUCAGACGUGAAAUUCCAGGGCUCAACCAUGGAACUGCGUUUGAAACUGUUCUUCUUGAGUGAAGGGGCGGCAGGCGGAAUUCGUGGUGUAGCGGUGAAAUGCGUAGAUAUACGGAAGAACACCAGUUGCGAAGGCAGCCUGCUGGACAAUAACUGACGCUGAGGCGCGAAAGCGUGGGGAGCAAACAGGAUUAGAUACCCGAGUAGUC
rnacentral:rRNA from 1 species